AGAGGCUACAUAAGCCUUCAGCCAAAGAAUCAAAAUCAAUACAGAGGGCUAUUCUGAGUCCUGUGUUUUAAGGCUUUUAUGCCAUCAUAAGAAAAUUUCUUCAGCCUUGCAUCUGAGAAAAGAUUCACCAAAAA